rnacentral:rRNA from 1 species
CACGUAGGGUGCGAGCGUUGUCCGGAAUUAUUGGGCGUAAAGAGCUCGUAGGCGGUGUGUCGCGUCGGCCGUGAAAACCUGCAGCUUAACUGUGGGCUUGCGGUCGAUACGGGCAGGCUAGAGUUCGGUAGGGGAGAUCGGAAUUCCUGGUGUAGCGGUGAAAUGCGCAGAUAUCAGGAGGAACACCGGUGGCGAAGGCGGAUCUCUGGGCCGAUACUGACGCUGAGGAGCGAAAGCGUGGGGAGCGAACAGG